CCGAUUCAAAACCAGAUUCUCUAUAACUUUCGAAAAAUGAAAAGAAGCCUUUUAAAUGGUCUAUAUCAACAUCAAUAUACAUGUCUUCUGCUUGCAAAUGUUUACUUAAUUUGUUAACAUUAUUCAACACUUCAUACCAAAUAAUCAUUCCAAGUAAGAAUUCAAAAUUGUCAAUUUCAUAUGUUGCUAAACAUUCCGCCUCACUUUUUGUCUUAGGAUCAUCAACGUUUGCUAAUUAAAGUAAGGUUUUUUUUAUUUGCGGAGCUUGAAAUCUUAUCGUUUUAACACUUUCAAUAUGACUUUCUCAACGAGUUUAUGACAAGGGCUUAAGGGUAAGACCAGUUACAUUCUCUUUGAAAAAUUUCCACCGUUUAGUAGAUUAAGAAAAUAAAAUGUAUAUACGUUGCACCACCCCAAAGAAAAGAUUUAGCUUUUGAACAACAAGUGGUUAUAUCAUAAAGUGCAAGAUUAAGACUAUGACAUCCAUUUGGACUGUAGAACGCUCUAGGAUUUAGUUGUAAUAGUCUACUUUGAACUCAUUAAUGUUGUCUUUCAUGUUAACACCAUUAUCAUAGUCUUGACCCCUUACAUUAUCAAUAUCAAGUUCUAGAUUAUUCAAAGCAUCCACCAGUUCAUCAAAAAGUUCAUCAAAAAGUCCCUUACCUGAUGUAUCAUCUACCAAUAAAAAUCAUAAAAAAAAUUUUUUCAACAUUCACCGGACUUGCCGAAAUAUCUACACACCUCAAUACUAUAGACAUUUGUUCUUCUUGACUUGUAUCUGUAGUGCAAUCAAGUAUAACAGAAAAGUAUUUAGAAUUUUUCUGAAUUUUGCGUCCUAGAUAAUGAUAAUGAUAAUGAAUCUCUUUUUUUUUUCGACGAACAUGCUCUUGCAUUACGAGAUCAAACUCAACAAUCAUUAUUAAGAAGAUACCAUUAUUUUCUUAAUAUACCUUCUCAUUAUCCUCACAAAAUGCUAAAUUAUUUUCAACAAGAGUUUUCACCACAAAUAUUAUUCUCAGUAACACUUGUCUCCAAUGUUCUUUAUCUCUAUUGAUUUGUUCUUGCACACUUUUAUCAAUUGUUUACUCUUUUUGAAUCUUAAUUCUAUUUCUAUCCAUUUACUCAUGUUAUUAAUGUGGUCGCAACUUACUUCAUGCAUUUUAAAUUUUUCACCAAUAUUUUUUCAAUCAUUUACUUCAUCAUGUGCCAAUUGAGUUCUGAUCACAUCAUUUUUCAACAGCUUACAACAAAACAAAAUACUUUAUCCAAACUUCUUGAAUAUAUCAACCAUUUUCUAUCAUG
rnacentral:lncRNA from 1 species